CCUACGGGAGGCAGCAGUGGGGAAUAUUGGGCAAUGGGCGCAAGCCUGACCCAGCCACGCCGCGUGAAGGAAGAAGGCUUUCGGGUUGUAAACUUCUUUUCUGAGGGACGAAGAAAGUGACGGUACCGCAGGAAUAAGCCACGGCUAACUACGUGCCAGCAGCCGCGGUAAUACGUAGGUGGCAAGUGUUAUCCGGAUUUAUUGGGUGUAAGGGGCGUGUAGGCGGGAAAGUAAGUCAGAUGUGAAAACUCAGGGCUCAACCCUGAGCCUGCAUUUGACACUGUUUUUCUUGAGUGCUGGAGAGGCAAUCGGAAUUCCGGGUGUAGCGGUGAAAUGCGUAGAUAUACGGAGGAACACCAGUGGCGAAGGCGGAUUGCUGGACAGUAACUGACGCUGAGGCGCGAAAGCGUGGGGAGCAAACAGGAUUAGAUACCCGGGUAGUC
rnacentral:rRNA from 1 species